UACGUAGGGGGGCAAGCGUUGUCCGGAUUUAUUGGGCGUAAAGAGCGUGUAGGCGGCUAUACAGGUCCGCUGUGAAAACUCGAGGCUCAACCUCGAGACGUCGGUGGAAACCGUAUGGCUAGAGUCCGGAAGAGGAGAGUGGAAUUCCUGGUGCAGCGGUGAAAUGCGCAGAUAUCAGGAAGAACACCCGUGGCGAAGGCGGCUCUCUGGGACGGUACUGACGCUGAGACGCGAAAGCGUGGGGAGCGAACAGG
rnacentral:rRNA from 1 species